CACGUAGGGGGCAAGCGUUGUCCGGAGUUAUUGGGCGUAAAGAGCUCGUAGGCGGUCUGUCGCGUCUGCUGUGAAAACUCGGGGCUUAACCCCGGGCCUGCAGUGGGUACGGGCAGACUAGAGUGCGGUAGGGGAGACUGGAAUUCCUGGUGUAGCGGUGAAAUGCGCAGAUAUCAGGAGGAACACCGGUGGCGAAGGCGGGUCUCUGGGCCGUAACUGACGCUGAGGAGCGAAAGCGUGGGGAGCGAACAGG
rnacentral:rRNA from 1 species